rnacentral:lncRNA from 1 species
UUGCUAAUGCUAAACAGUCACACAGGUCAUUCGACCUCUACAAAUCAUCCACUCGAAGCCCUGAUUGGAUCUUCCUUCGUGAGAGUGCUAGCUCACGUCGAAGGCUCUAAAUGGCUGAUCCAAGCUCCUUUCUUCAGAUCUCCUAAACUCUUUUAGAUCAAAAGAUAAAGCUUUACAAGGAGAUGAUGGUGUGGGAGAUUGAACAAGACUCACUCUUGUAUUUUUCUUCUCACAAAAUCUAGAGUUAAAACCCUAGACCCUACACCUCAC